rnacentral:rRNA from 1 species
UACGUAGGGAGCAAGCGUUGUCCGGAUUUAUUGGGCGUAAAGAGCUCGUAGGCGGCUUAGCAAGUCAGGUGUGAAACCUCCAGGCUCAACCUGGAGACGCCACUUGAUACUGCUAUGGCUUGAGUUUGGUAGGGGAAGACGGAAUUCCUGGUGUAGCGGUGAAAUGCGCAGAUAUCAGGAGGAACACCGAUGGCGAAGGCAGGUCUCUGGGCAUUAACUGACGCUGAGGAGCGAAAGCAUGGGGAGCGAACAGG